ACACAGAAUGAAACACAUACAGUAUAUAUAUUAUAAAUUAUAAUAUAUAUACUGUAUGUGUUUCAUUCUGUGUU
rnacentral:sRNA from 1 species